UAGACCUCUUAACCAGGAAAAGAACCAUUACCAGCUGAGGUGUUUGCUGAAAACAAAGGGAAUACAAAAUGGGUAGUGGAAAAAGGUCUCCACCUUGCCAAAUGAAGAUCUUGGGACUUCUCAGACUUCAUAAUCAUGAGGUGCAUGGAAAGGAUGGAAAGGACCCUGACAGGCACUCCUGAAUACAGAUUUCUGAUUACUUUAGGAUCAUAUAAUUUGGAUUAGGUAAGAAUUCUCAGAACUCUAAUGAAGAAACUGGUUUAUAAAAUUGUUUACCCAAGCAGACUAGAAUUAAUUAAAUACCAAGGAAAUAUGGUUGCAGAUUUUCAUACUAAGUUUAUAAGUACUGAAAUUGUUAAGAUAUACAAUUCCAAUAAAUUCCAUGGUCCAAGUCAAAUUACCUAUGAUAACAUAUUUAACAAAGAGUGCUACACACCUGAAUUAGAAAAACAAAACUGGAAUGUAAGAGGAUAUAAACCCAAGGUUAAGCAUGGACUCAUGGAGCCUUGACUGCUUCCUGAUUCCCUAAAGCUUCAUUAUAAGCUUUGCACUCCAUGACUCAUCAUGGAAGAGAUACAAUGAUCCAAAUUAUGGGAAAAAAUAUUGGCGUGGUGACUGUUCUAAAUUUCUGUAAUGGUUGAUGACCAAUUUUUGAUUUGUCAAAACCAUAAUCCUGAUAAGACAACCAAAACUUCAGGUACAUUUCUUCAAUCUGAUGGGUCACUUAUAAAGGGAUUUCAUUCAAUUGCCAUUUUCUCUGCAUGUUUUCUGGUUGUACAGAAGCUUUCCCAUAUAGGAAGGCUACAAGAGUAGCUAAAAAGUUAUUAGAAAAUGUGUUUCCCUCAUGGUGUAUUCCUGGAGAAAAUUCCAGCAAUAGAUCUACUUGUUUCACUGGACAAGUGGUAAAACAGUUAAAUAAGGUAUUAUGGAUACAGUCACAUUAAGCAAAGCAAACUGAAUCAACUGGAUUGCCUCAGUCAAAGAUAUGAUAGAUUGAUUACAAUCAAAUCCACUUCCAAUGGGAACAUAAGUUGAUCCCCUAGGGAAGAGUUACCAGAAGGCCUAUUUCCCUAAUAAUAGAAACUCAUUUAUGUUCUGCUUCUAACCUCUGAUAUGACUAAAUGCUGCAAAGCUUUAAUGCCUUAUGCCAAAGUGUAUUUUCACCAGGUAAAGGAAACUUUUCAUGAUUCACCAACUUAAGACAAUCAAACCCUUCAUGAUCUACAACCUGGAGACCGGGUUUUCUGGGAACGAUAAUAGAGGAAGACUGCCCUUGCCACCAACACUGCAGCAAAACGUUGGGACAUUGAACCUUGGGCCUGUAAUCACACAACUCAGAGUGGCCCUUCAGACUCUUGGAACUGUACACCUGUAGGAGACCUUAAGGUGCAGCUAAUCAGGGAAGUCUCUCCCCAGAAGCAGACAGCAUCCUAGACAUGGACAACUUUCCCAAGAUCAUGGAUCAAGAAUUCUCUGUCAUCAGAAAAAUUUUACCUCUCUUAGUUUUUUUCUUUUCCUUGCUUAUGCCUCUAUGAACAAUAUAAUUGGGAAAGGGGCCUUGUGUGCACCAAUGGAGUAUGCUUUUAUUUGUGGAGGAUUUUGCAGCCAACCUUAUACCUGAGCAACUUAUGCCUUGAUGGAUGGAAGAUGAAGGGCCAAUACGGGCUAGAAAUUUUAGUAGUACCUUUGCUGCUCCAUGAUCAGUCAGAAACAGAACAUUUGUUCACUCCUCUUAACCUACAUCUUAGGUUAAAGGAACAUUGCCAGGAAGUCUUCACUCUUCUGGAUGGGCAUCAUUUCUUAGGUCUCUUUUCCCAUGGCCUGCAUUAAAUAUAAAUGAGGCAAUGCUUACAAAUGUAUCACUCAUAAUAGGCUCUAUAGCAGGUUCAACUGCAAAGGCUGUGGUUGCACAACAGACGUCUUUAAAUUCUCUUGCUAACGUUUUAUUAGGUAAUAAAAUUGCUCUAGAUUAACUAUGAAAAGAGAGGAAUCUGUGCAGUUUUUGACACUUCUUAUUACACAUAGAUGAAUACAUCAGGUAUUAUAGGGACUCAGUCACAGGGGAUUAACCAACAAGCUGCUUAGUUAAAAUAGGUAGAUUCCUCAUCUGGUUCGUUCUUUGAUGUAUUUGAUUUUGAUUGGUUUUGUUCAGGGGAAACCUGGCUAAGAAGCAUAUUCCAAACUCUUGAUAUUAUCCUUUUGAUAGCCAUAAUAGUAGUCUCCCUGAUGUGCUGCAGUCUCUUAAAAUUUUUAAAGGUGUACAUGCAGCCAUCUGUAGAAUGCCAAGUGGUCUCUCUUCAACUAGAACAACAAAAACCCAAAGACAUGUGAUCAUGAGGACACUACUGUAACUUACGACUGACUUGUUGAGACUAGAACCCCAAAAUGAUGGUAACUAAGAAUAGCAAUAAAGCUCUAAGUUUUGGUCAUGCUCUCAUCUAAGAUUUGUUAAACGAAAUUAUGGGAGGCCACUGGUUUGAACUGAACUCCUGCACUAGGCCUUAACAGACUACACUAACCCAACUUGGAGUCACUUAUGCUAUGUUCCACAUAAUCAAACCAAAGCCUUAAAGAAGCAAGCAGAUCUCAAAACAGAUGGGAACUGAGACCCAAUAAGACUCGUGAAUUCUAUACUGAGACCAAAUAAGUCUGUCCAUUUACAAUAAUGACAGAAAAUGACAUUAUGCUUAAAGUUUAUGGUAUAAUUGAGAGGUUGAAGGGGUCAUUGUUAAAUUCAGUUUGGCCUAAAGCUGCCUCCCUACAUAUUUUAACUUUUGCCUAAAGGUUUCUCCAUGCAUAGUGAGCUAUAACCUAACUUGAUAUGUAAACAGACUGUAACCUACUCUUGUAACAAGUAGCUAAUCACAGGCAGCAAACUGUUCAAACCAGGUUCAAAUAAGACAAACACCCAGCUGUAACCAAUCCAACUGUUUCAGUACCUCACUUCCAUUUUUUGAAUGUCACAUUCCUUUUUCUGUCCAUAAAUAUGAUCUGAUCAUGCUACAGCACCAGAAUUGCUCCGAACCUAUUUUGGUUCUGAGGGCUGUCUGAUGUGCAAACCAUUCUUUGCUCAAUUAAACUCCAUUAAAUUUAAUUUGUCUAAAGUUUUUCUUAUAACAACUGAAUGGGAUCAUGAAUUCUGACAGAUAUGAAAUUCCACUGGUGCAAAACAUUAGUAAACAUGUUUAAUGAAACUCUUAUGAAGAAAUAACAUGUUCAUUCCAAAACA